GAUGAACGCUAGCUACAGGCUUAACACAUGCAAGUCGAGGGGUAACGAGAGGAAAGCUUGCUUUCCUUGUCGACGACCGGCGCACGGGUGAGUAACGCGUAUCCAACCUGCCCCCAACUAGGGAAUAACCUUGCGAAAGUAAGACUAAUACCCUAUAAUUUCCUCAGAUGACAUCUGACGAGGAAUAAAGAUUUAUUGGUUGUGGAUGGGGAUGCGUCUGAUUAGCUUGUUGGCGGGGUAACGGCCCACCAAGGCAACGAUCAGUAGGGGUUCUGAGAGGAAGGUCCCCCACAUUGGAACUGAGACACGGUCCAAACUCCUACGGGAGGCAGCAGUGAGGAAUAUUGGUCAAUGGGCGGAAGCCUGAACCAGCCAAGUAGCGUGCAGGAUGACGGCCCUGUGGGUUGUAAACUGCUUUUAUACAGGAAUAAAGUUAGCCACGUGUGGUUAUUUGUAGGUACUGUAUGAAUAAGGACCGGCUAAUUCCGUGCCAGCCGCCGCCGUAAAAC
rnacentral:rRNA from 1 species